rnacentral:lncRNA from 1 species
AGCAUAAUCAUUUUAAAAUUUAUUUGUGUUCAUCAGGCAAAAAGAAUGGGAUGGGGUGCCAUUGUAGGAAAAGGUUCUGAAGCCUCAUUCAACCUCAGCAGGCAGCAGUUGAGAAUUGACAAGAAAUGCCUGACCUAGGGGUAGGAGGGGGAGUGGCUGCCCAUACACCUGCAGCUGCCAUCUCAUCCCUCAGUGGUGAUGUAUUCAACAAAGAUCUACCCUUAAACAUAAAGCUUGCUUCAAAUGACCAAGAGAAGAAUUCAUAGAACUUGACCCAUUUGUAAGUUGGAGACAGUUGGAAUAUUAUACUAAUACAUAAUGCUAAAGCAUAUAUGUUCUAUGUAUAUUUAACAAUA